GAUGAACGCUGGCGGCGUGCCUAAUACAUGCAAGUCGAGCGAACGGUCGAGAAUCUUGCUUCUCUGAUGUUAGCGGCGGACGGGUGAGUAACACGUGGAUAACCUACCUAUAAGACUGGGAUAACUUCGGGAAACCGGAGCUAAUACCGGUUGAUAUUUUGAACAGCAUGGUUCUAUAGAGAAAGACAGUCUUGCUGUCACUCAUAGCUUGAUCUGCGCUGCAUUAGCUAGUUGGUAAGGAAAAGGCUUACCAUGGCAACGAUGCAUAGCCGCAAUGAGAGGAUGAUCGGCCAGCCUGGAACUGUGACACGGCCCAGACUCCUACGGGAGGCAGCAUUAGUGAUUCUUGCGGAAGGGGCGAAAGCCAGAGGGAGCAAGACCGCGUGAGUGAUGAAGGUCUUCGGAUCGUAAAACUCUGUUAUUAGGGAAGAAAAGAUGUGUAAGUAACUGUGCACGUAUUGACGGUACCUAAACAGAAAGCCACGGCUAAAUACGUG
rnacentral:rRNA from 1 species